UACGGAGGGUGCAAGCGUUAUCCGGAUUCACUGGGUUUAAAGGGUGCGUAGGCGGCCUUGUAAGUCAGUGGUGAAAUACUCCAGCUUAACUGGAGGGGUGCCAAUGAUACUGCAGGGCUUGAGUACAGAUGAGGUAGGCGGAAUUGACGGUGUAGCGGUGAAAUGCAUAGAUAUCGUCAAGAACACCGAUAGCGAAGGCAGCUUACUGGGCUGUAACUGACGCUGAGGCACGAAAGUGUGGGGAUCAAACAGG
rnacentral:rRNA from 1 species